rnacentral:lncRNA from 1 species
GCGAGAGUAAUGGCUUUCUGCGCGCCAAAGUAUUUCUGUGGAAUAAAAUCGUUUUCUUGUGUUUGCAGAUGGAGGGAGCAGAAAAAUCGUUAUGACGAAAUACGUCUCGGAAUGUCUGCAGUUGAAAACUACCAAGGACUGACUCGGAUGGCAUAUUUAGGAGCCGGAAUCUGCAUGCAAAGCACUGUGAUGUGAUUUGUACAGGCCAAGAUGUUAAAAGUUUUACAAGCAUAUUGAAGUGGUGUGUGACAGAUUUUCAACAGCAAAGUUUUGGAGACAAAAUAAGAGCAUUAUUGUGAAGUGGUGAUCCGUCAAAGAUGUUACAGCAGUGGUGUGUGACAAAAUUUCCUACAGCAGGGUUAUGGAAUGAUUAUCA